rnacentral:tRNA from 1 species
ACUCUAGUAAUUUAAUAAAAAUAAUGAUCUUGUAAAUCAUAAAUAAUACCUUAAGUAUUUUAGAGUA